rnacentral:rRNA from 1 species
AUUAAGUUUAAUUUAAUAUAGGAUCUGCUCAAUGAUUUAUUAAAUAGCUGCAGUAUUUUGACUGUGCAAAGGUAGCAUAAUAAUUAGUCUUUUAAUUGAGGACUUGUAUGAAAGAUUUGAUGAGAAAUAAACUUUAUUAUUUAUAUAAUUAAAAUUUUAUUUUUAAGUUAAAAAGCUUAAAUUAUUUAAAGGGACGAUAAGACCCUAUAAAACUUUAUAAAUAUUAUUUUUAAUUUUUUUGGAAUAUAAAUAUUUUAAUCUUAUUAUUUAUUUUAUUGGGGUGAUAAAAAAAUUUAAUUAACUUUUUUUAAAAUUUAACAUUAUUUAGUGAUUAUUUGAAUUAAAAUUUUUAAUUAAAGGAAAAAGUUACUUUAGGGAUAACAGCGUAAUUAAUUUUUUAAGUUCAAAUUUAAAAAUUAGUUUGCGACCUCGAUGUUGAAUUAAGAUUAAUCUUAGGUGCAAAAUUUUAAGUAUUAGGUCUGUUCGACCUUUAAAUUCUUACGUGA